UGAAUAUAUUUAAUGCCACUGAUCUGUGCAGUUCAAGUUGGGUAAAGUAGUAAAUUUUGUGUUUAUAUAUAUUACCACAGUUUUCUUUGAAAAAAUCUAAAAACAUAAAGCUGAAACCUAAAAAUGUCCAGGUAACAAUAAAGCUGCCAGAGUAUUGUACAAGACUACCCAUUGUAUUUAGAACAGCUCAACCAAGCAGGGCCCCCCAGAAAAGGGGGACAGGAAAAGGGAUUGAUUGCUUUUUAAAUAAUUUAAUAUUUAUUAUUUCAAAAAAAAAAAAAAAAAAGGAACGUUCUCAGAGGGGGAAGCAGUGAGCAUUUUGUUUGACUUCUUUUCUCCUUUGCUUGGCAGAGGGUUUUGUUUUUAGUUUGAAUUCGUAUGUGAGACCUGGCACCACAGUCUUUGCAGGACUAUGAAUUCCUGAGAACGUAAACGGAACUGUUCAUGAGGAAUAGUGUGAGGGUGAGGGCCCAGCCCCGGCUCACCGAGUCCUCAGGGCUCAGUUCCACAGCUGCCUGAGGAAUGUGCUGUCAAGGGCAAUCUUCAGCGAUCCGGAUCACAGCUGGGCUUUGCGUGGCAACCUGAGGAUGAGGUCAGACUUGAGCAUCACAACCGAAAGUCACAUGCUGAUGACAGGCUCCAAAUCCUCCCCACCCAGGGCCUGGUGGCUUCCAGACGUUGACUCAGGACAGGAGCCGCUUGUCUGCCGUUUUAAAGACGCCUUGAAUCCUCCUCCACGAUACCCGCUCCACUGUUUGUUAGCACAGGUAUGAUGCUGCUCACGGACUGUUUUCACUCCUAAAGACAGUGGUGCAAGGCCAGGUGACCUGGAGCCAGGCCAUCCUGAGUGCCCACCCAGCUUCCCAGCAGCCCGCUGGAAUGUGGAAGGACAUUUGCCUCUGUUUAUAAAGCCUGGCUUUUUGCUGAAAGCCAGGGUCUCGAAAAUGUUGUUUUAUUAAUAGAAGCUAUACCCCGAACAUUUGGCUCUUUUUCGUUCCAUUUCCCCUUUCACAAUCUUAACUACUCCCAAGACAAUGGAUACCUCUGUCUGUAUCAAGGGCAGAUUGUCGAAAAGAAAGUCAACAGGAAAUAAACAUUAUUAUUUCAAAAAUA